AUAUGUGUCUUGUUCCUCUCAAAGUGUCACUAGGGUGAGAGAAUUUGUGAUCCCUAUGCCGCAUACGUAUCCCAUCUCUCUAUCGUUUAUUUUUCUCAUGCCACUUCUGUUUUUUUCCUAAAUACAUAUCUAUCUGAUCGGAUUCUUACUUCAUUUAUUGUGAUUCAGAUUCUGUUCUUUGUGUAUGUUUCCCUCUUGCCCUUAGCAUUGUUUCAAUGGGUGCUACUAGGGCUUAUAGUAGUUGAUGGAUACCCGCUGAAACGGACCGCGCGCGAGUUAAAUAAAGGCUUUUAUGUUCAAUUAUAUAUGAGAGUUUGUAAGAAAAGACAUCCAAACCAAUUCGCAUGGUCCCUUACUUGGUUCUGUCAAAAGAAAGGUCUAGAGCCUACGUUUUUGUAUGUUUGAA